CCGUUUGAGCUUGCUAGUCCUGGUUCUGAAUACUUUGUGCACAGAGUGGGAGAGGGUAAGAGAUCUAACUUUACACCAGUCAUUGGCAGUAUUUGUUCCUGUGGCCACAGCUUUGGUUCGUCUAUCUCGUAAUUGAAAGUUUGGUGUAAAAACUAGUUUACUAGAUAGACGAUAUUUGUGUUUUGUGAGAGUGUGGAUCGCGGAACAGUAACUAAAACUAACUAGAUUUGUAACUGAAGGAACUGAUGUUCCGCUAAGAAUUAUGUCGGAUAUUGGUGCAGGAUUACGAUCGGUCACACGUCAAGUCAGCUGACAUAUUGCGCCCUGCUACACCGCAACAGCUCUUGCCUGGUUCUUGAUUCGUUCCAUUCGCUUUGCACUCUUCUCUUAAUCCUCUAUCUUGGCGUUUCUCUUCAUAAAAAGAUGUCCGACGCAACGUAGAAUACAUAUUACAUGGGACAAAGGAAACAACGCAAUUUCUGACUAGAAAAACUUGCAAAAGAUUGAAAAAAUUAUGACAUAAAGAACGAUCAUGUGUACGCAAGCGCAGAAUAAAAAGAAGAAAUGAAUGAGUCGUGUAUAUAUACUUGUAUUUAAAUAAGAAAGAGAAAAAUAGUGACGAGAAUAAAUGGCGGAAAUUUAAGUAUUAUCUAAAUUAUCAACUAAAUUUUCUAUUUAUUUAUAUUUUUCGCAUAUUUGAAAAAUAUAAAGAAAAAAACAAUAAAACAAUCGAAUUUUUAAAUUUCAAACGUUUGUGUUGGAUAAAAGGCGAGGUCUCGGUUCCUCAGAUUGAAGUAAUAUCGAGCGCUCGAGCGCGAAGUUGCAUACAAAGAGCGAGAAAGAGAGAGAACGAGAAGGAAAGAAGGAAGAGAGAAAGAGUUAUUUGGUAACAUUUCGUUUUAGUUGUGGAGAGAGAGAAGGGUCUUAAGAGACAAAGCGAACGCGCGCAUCGAGAGUGGCUAAAGCGAGAAUUGCGCCGCCGAGAAUUACAAAGCACAAGUCAGAAGGGAAGAGAGCUCCCCCGACCGACGGUCGACUAUCGGUCGUAACUGCACGUCAUCUAACGUGUCUUAACACGAUAAGGAUAGACGGAGAACCUAC